AGUUCUAAGAUUGUUCAAUUGAUAGCAGUAAUAAUUGGAAACCCUAUGUAUAACAUGGAGCCUGUUUAUUCCUACAAAUGUUCAAAAAGUAACUAUUCCUUCUUAUGACUCAAGAAUGAUUAUGAAUAGUGAAAAUAUUUCUGGCAACGAGCAGAAGAAAAAGUUUUAUCCUUUCUGAGCUCAAAUAGAUGAAUGAUUUCUUGAAUGUUAUUGGCUUUUUACGCUGUGAUUCAGGU
rnacentral:misc_RNA from 1 species